rnacentral:rRNA from 1 species
AACGAACGCUGGCGGCAGGCUUAACACAUGCAAGUCGAACGCCCCGCAAGGGGAGUGGCAGACGGGUGAGUAACGCGUGGGAACCUACCUAGUUCUACGGAACAACACAGGGAAACUUGUGCUAAUACCGUAUACGCCCUACGGGGGAAAGAUUUAUCGGAAUUAGAUGAGCCCGCGUAAGAUUAGCUAGUUGGUGGGGUAAUGGCCUACCAAGGCGACGAUCUUUAGCUGGUCUGAGAGGAUGAUCAGCCACACUGGGACUGAGACACGGCCCAGACUCCUACGGGAGGCAGCAGUGGGGAAUAUUGGACAAUGGGCGAAAGCCUGAUCCAGCCAUGCCGCGUGAGUGAUGAAGGCCUUAGGGUUGUAAAGCUCUUUCAGUAGGGAAGAUAAUGACGGUACCUACAGAAGAAGCCCCGGCUAACUUCGUGCCAGCCGCCGCGGUAAAAC